GCUGAACCAAACGUAAAAUUCGUCAUCCCCUCCCAAUUCCCAACCCGUUGUAUUUUCUGAGUCUAGGGUUUUUGUUUGGUUUAUCUAAGAGAGAGCAAUUCCUAAGUCACCGCUAAGUUAUGGCGAAACCAGACCGAGGCCGACCGGCUACACCGUCGGGCUCUGGUUCGGGCUCUUCAUCACGUUCCCGCUCUCGCUCUCCAUCUAGGUCAAGGUCUCGCUCGCGCUCCUACUCCGGCUCCGACUCUCGCUCUAGUUCCCGCUCUCGUUCUCUAUCUCGGUCGCGCUCCCGUUCCCGUUCUCUCUCUAAAUCCAUCUCUUCUUCGUCUUCUCCUUCUCGUAGCGGCAGUUCUCGUAGCCCUAGUCCACCUCCCCAGCGGAAAAGUCCGGGUGAAGGAGCUAGGCGUGGUCGAUCUCCACCUCCGCAGUCUAAGAAAGUUUCACCACCUCCAAGGAAAGCAUCUCCAGUCCCUGAGUCACUAACAAUUCAUGUUGAUCAGCUCACCAGGAAUGUCAAUGAAAGCCAUCUGAAAGAAAUAUUUGGUAAUUUUGGUGAAGUUGUGCAUGUGAGGCUGGUAAUAGACCAUGCGGUUAACAUUUCAAAAGGUUCUGGAUAUGUCGAAUUUAAGAACAGAACUGAUGCUGAGAAAGCUCAGUUGUACAUGGAUGGAGCCCAGAUUGAUGGGAAAGUUGUUCAUGCCAAAUUCACUUUACCUGAGAGGAAGAAGGUUUCCCCUCCCAAGGCUGUUGCUUCGACAUCUAGAAGAGAUGCUUCUAAAGCUGAUAGUGCUGGGCGUGACUUGGACAAAGACGGGCUGAAGCGGCCAAGAGAAGCAUCCCCUCGUCGGAAACCCCCCUCGCCACCGAGGAGGAGGUCUCCAGCGAUGCGAAGAGGAUCUCCUAGACGUGAGCUUGAUUCUCCUCCUCGUCGACGUGCAGACUCUCCUGGUCGUCGUAGACCAGAUUCCCCUUAUCGACGAGUUGCUUCGCCUCCUCCUAGGAGACGCCUUGCAUCUCCUGCCAGAGGUCGUUCACCCUCCUCACCUCCCAGACGAUACCGUUCACCUCCGAGGGCUUCUCCCCGAAGGAUACGUGGUAGUCCUAUGCGAAGACGUUCUCCUCCUCCUCCUCCCAGAAGACGUUCCCCCCGUCGAGGUCGAACACCUCCUAGACGUUCACCAGUCGGUCGCAGACGCAGCCGUUCUCCUGCUCGUAGGCCUGUUCGUUCAGUUUCGAGAUCAUUGUCUCCAAGGAGAGGCCGUGCACCCCCUGUCAGACGUGCAAGAUCAUCAUCCUACUCAUCAUCUCCUAGUCCUCGCAAGGGGCCCAGGAGAGCAUCGAGGAGUCGCAGCCCAAGAAGCACAUCACCAUAGUGAAAGGAGAGGGACUAUAUUUAGUGUAGUUACUGGUCACCAAUAUUCAUGCCAUCACAGUAUAACUGUGGUAUCAGGCCUUUAAGGGGUAGAAGCUCAAGUAAUAGCAGUGGAACAAGUGGUUCGCCACCUCGUAAGCCCUGAAGUCUGCAGGGUUGUUUUCUUCGUCACUUCUACCAUGCUGUCUCAUCUUGUGAUGGUGUAAGGUUGCUCCAGAGUACGUGCAUGCUGAGGAGGAUGGUUGAACCUGCCCCUGUGGUAGCUUUAGGAGGUUUUCUUGUGGUUAAUAUUAUGAUCAUUGGGUGCGUGCAUUAGGCCACUCGUGGGCAGUGGUUGAGUGGAUUUUAUGUUUAAUUUUCAUCACUUUUGACAGCUAAGAGGAAAAUAUGUGUAUGCAUUUCUAUGCGAACUAAAAGCAUUUUUCUUGCACCGUCUCGGUACAGCAAUUAAUUUUCAUCCGUGGUAAUGUUCUCA